UACGUAGGGUGCAAGCGUUGUCCGGAAUUAUUGGGCGUAAAGAGCUCGUAGGCGGUUUGUUGCGUCGGCUGUGAAAUCCCGAGGCUCAACCUCGGGUCUGCAGUCGAUACGAGCAAACUAGAGUGUUGCAGGGGAGACUGGAAUUCCUGGUGUAGCGGUGAAAUGCGCAGAUAUCAGGAGGAACACCGGUGGCGAAGGCGGGUCUCUGGGCAGUAACUGACGCUGAGGAACGAAAGCGUGGGUAGCGAACAGG
rnacentral:rRNA from 1 species